rnacentral:rRNA from 1 species
GACGAACGCUGGCGGCGUGCUUAACACAUGCAAGUCGAACGAUGAAGCCUUUCGGGGUGGAUUAGUGGCGAACGGGUGAGUAACACGUGGGCAACCUGCCCUCCACUCUGGGAUAACUCCGGGAAACCGGGGCUAAUACUGGAUACGACCACGGUCCGCAUGGGCUGUGGUGGAAAGUUUUUCGGUGGAGGAUGGGCCCGCGGCCUAUCAGCUUGUUGGUGGGGUGAUGGCCUACCAAGGCGGUGACGGGUAGCCGGCCUGAGAGGGCGACCGGCCACACUGGGACUGAGACACGGCCCAGACUCCUGCGGGAGGCAGCAGUGGGGAAUAUUGCACAAUGGGCGAAAGCCUGAUGCAGCGACGCCGCGUGAGGGAUGACGGCCUUCGGGUUGUAAACCUCUUUCAGCAGGGACCAAGCGUGAGUGAGUGUACCUGCAGAAGAAGCACCGGCUAACUACGUGCCAGCCGCCGCAGUAACAC